rnacentral:tRNA from 1 species
CAGAGGGUAGUUUAUAAAAAUAUUAGUUUUGGGGACUAAAGAUAGGGCAAGAGCUUUACUUCUGA